UCUGUGUUUCCGUUCUCCUGCCUUGUUUGUUUCCAUGGUUUUUGAUUUAAUCAGCUCCACACCUGUUUCAGUUCUCCCAAUUAAGUUUAUAUUACUUAAGUCUGUGUUCCCUUAGAUUCCUUUGUCUGCUAUCAUUUGGAUUUGUGUUUGUGCCUGUUCUCUCCUGUGGAUUAUUAAAAUAACUCUUUGAUUAUACUCCUUGGUCGUGCGCCUUGUUUUGGACACCACACACGUGACAGAAUAGCAGACCCUCAAAACCGUCCAGCUCUUGUGCCUGAAGCAGUUGGACCAUUCGCUGGAGGAUCAUACUAGGGACUUUCUCGGUCCCAAAAGAAGAUUUUGCUCCUUUUGUGGAGUGGGUGCUGGUGAACUGUGGAUCUUAAUUCACCGUCUGCCCUGCUGAGGAGGAUAUCUCCAGCCCCACUCCCGAACCAGAGACCAGCCAGCUGUCAUCCAGCUGCAUGGAGCAAAUGCCAGAGCCCACCACAGCUUGCCAUGAUUAAAGAGCUAGCACCAUUUAAAGCGACAGAGCCAAUCAUCGCCCAGGGCUAGGACUCGACAGGGCGACUGACCAGGUGUGUGAGCCAGAAACACUGUCCGUAGUUGGAAUACUGGAGGAGAUUGAGGGCUUGGAGGAGAGCCCCACCCACACUCCUGCGACUGAGGGUGAGCUACAUCUGGUUUCUGGGAAUCACAUGGAGGAACUUGUGGACAUUUUUCAAAAAUUCCUGAUUCCUGAAUCUCCUGCGUCUCCGCUGGUUCCGUCCAGCUCAAGUCCUCCUGUGUUCCCUCCCAGCCUCCCUUUCCCACCUCCUCUUAAACGAGCCAGUUCCUCAGCUCCAUCUCUGCUGGUUCCUCUCAGUCCCUCAGCUCACCCUCAGUCAGCGCCAUCUGGGCGCUCUGAUCCGCCUCGCGACUUCCAGUCUCCAGCUCCACCUUGGCGUGAAGAUCAACUGUCUCUGCUUUCAGCCUUCGAGUCCUGGACUCCACCUCGGUCCUUCGACCCAUCAGCUCCGCCUUGGCAAAUAGCUCCCUCGUCUCCACCAUGGCCCGUCAUCCCACCAGCUCCACUUGGGCUCCCUCGUCCCUCCGGCUCCACCUUGGUCAGUCAUUGACCAUCUGCCACCUUGGGACUCCACUCCUCUGGCUCUGUCAGACUCCUCCUUCCCUCCGGCUCCGCCUCCAACCUCAGUCUCUCUGGCUCCGCCUCGGUCUUCCGGAGCCCCGCUGCUGCCUCAGUCGUCUGAGCCUUCUGCUCUGCCUUGGCCCUCCAGAUCCUCUGUGUCACCCUGGCUCUGUGGCUGCUCUGCUCCAUCCUGGGCUCCUACUCCACCUGCGUCAUCUCCGUCAGUCGGCCCCCUGGUGUUGUCGGCCCUAUCUCCACCAUGGCUCCUCCUGCUGUCGACUCCACCGUGGGCCACUAUCCUGGCUCCUCCUGCUACAGGAUCCUCCCUGGCUCCUCCAUCCAUCUACUCCACCCUAUGAACUAUGCCCAUUUCCCAUUGCCUGCCCCUUGCCUGCUCCACGCCCACCUCCUGAACCCCUAUCCUCCCUCCUCUGUUGGACUUUUUGUCGGUGUGAGGAUGCACCAUUCCAGGAGGGGGUGAACUGUCACAUCUAUGAUCUGUUUUGGUUUAGUUUUCUGUGUUUCCGUUCUCCGGCCUUGUUUGUUUCCAUGGUUUUUGAUUAAAUUAGUUCUAAACGUUUCAGUUCUCCCAAUUAAGUUUCUAUUAAGUCUGUGUUCCCCUAGAUUCCUUUGUCUGCUAUCGUUGGGAUUGGUGUUUGGUUGUGCCUAUUCUUUCCUGUGGAUUAUUAAAAC
ensembl:lncRNA